UGCGGGGUAGAGCAGAGGCAGCUCGUCGGGCUCAUAACCCGGAGGUCGCAGGUUCGAAUCCUGUCCCCGCUAUCA
rnacentral:tRNA from 1 species